GCCUGGUUGGCUCAGGUAGUGGAGCAUGUGACUAUUGAUCUUGAGGUUGUGUGUUUGAGUCCCACACUGGGUG
rnacentral:tRNA from 1 species